rnacentral:rRNA from 1 species
CGCAAGGGGAGUGGUAGACGGGUGAGUAACGCGUGGGAAUCUACCCAGAACUUCGGAACAACUGAGGGAAACUUCAGCUAAUACCGGAUACGCCCUACGGGGGAAAGAUUUAUCGGUUUUGGAUGAGCCCGCGUUGGAUUAGCUAGUUGGUGAGGUAAUGGCUCACCAAGGCGACGAUCCAUAGCUGGUCUGAGAGGAUGAUCAGCCACACUGGGACUGAGACACGGCCCAGACUCCUACGGGAGGCAGCAGUGGGGAAUAUUGGACAAUGGGCGAAAGCCUGAUCCAGCCAUGCCGCGUGAGUGAUGAAGGCCUUAGGG